rnacentral:rRNA from 1 species
AUGUCAAUUAGCUGUUGGGACAUGAUGUUGCUUAGUAGCGUAGCUAACGCGUGAAAUUGACCGCCUGGGGAGUACGGUCGCAAGAUUAAAACUCAAAGGAAUUGACGGGGACCCGCACAAGCGGUGGAUGAUGUGGAUUAAUUCGAUGCAACGCGAAGAACCUUACCUGGUCUUGACAUGUACGGAAUCCUCCAGAGACGGAGGAGUGCCUUCGGGAACCGUAACACAGGUGCUGCAUGGCUGUCGUCAG